rnacentral:rRNA from 1 species
UACGGAGGGUGCAAGCGUUGUUCGGAAUUACUGGGCGUAAAGCGCGCGUAGGCGGUUAUUCAAGUUGGGAGUGAAAGCCCAGGGCUCAACCCUGGAACUGCUUCCAAAACUGUUUAACUAGAGUAUGGUAGAGGAUAGUGGAAUUCCUAGUGUAGGGGUGAAAUCCGUAGAUAUUAGGAGGAACACCAGAAGCGAAGGCGACUAUCUGGGCCAUUACUGACGCUAAGGCGCGAAAGCGUGGGGAGCAAACGGG